CGUAGGGUGCGAGCGUUAAUCGGAAUUACUGGGCGUAAAGCGUGCGCAGGCGGUUUUGUAAGACAGAUGUGAAAUCCCCGGGCUCAACCUGGGACCUGCAUUUGUGACUGCAAGGCUAGAGUACGGUAGAGGGGGAUGGAAUUCCGCGUGUAGCAGUGAAAUGCGUAGAUAUGCGGAGGAACACCGAUGGCGAAGGCAAUCCCCCUGGACCUGUACUGACGCUCAUGCACGAAAGCGUGGGGAGCAAACAGGAUUAGAUACCCUGGUAGUCCACGCCCUAAACGAUGUCAACUGGUUGUUGGGUCUUUACUGAUCAGUAACGAAGCUAACGCGUGAAGUUGACCGCCUGGGGAGUACGGGCCGCAAGGUUG
rnacentral:rRNA from 1 species